CCUGACUGCUAUCGGAUUGAUACUAAGCCAUGCUAGUCUUUGUAGUAAUACAAGGCAUACGGCUCAGUAACGCGUAGUCAACCUACCCUAUGGACGGGGAUAAUCUCGGGAAACUGAGCAUAAUACCCGGCAGACCACUUAUCCUGGAAUGGUUAGUGGUUAAAAUGAUUCGUCGCCAUAGGAUGGGACUGCGGCCUAUCAGCUUGUUGGUGAGGUAAUGGCCCACCAAGGCGAUUACAGGUACGGGCUCUGAGAGGAGAAGCCCGGAGAUGGGUACUGAGACAAGGACCCAGGCCCUAUGGGGCGCAGCAGGCGAGAAAACUUUGCAACGUGCGAAAGCACGACAAGGUUAAUCCGAGUGAUUUCUGCUAAAGGAAUCUUUUGUUAGUUCUAAAAAUACUAGUGAAUAAGGGGUGGGCAAGUUCUGGUGUCAGCCGCCGCGGUAAAACCAGCACCUCAAGUGGUCAGGAGGAUUAUUGGGCCUAAAGCAUCCGUAGCCUGUUCUAUAAGUUUGCGGUUAAAUCUAUACGCUUAACGUAUAGGCUGCCGUAAAUACUGUAGAACUAGGGAGUGGGAGAGGUAGACGGUACUCGAUAGGAAGGGGUAAAAUCCUUUGAUCUAUUGAUGACCACCUGUGGCGAAGGCGGUCUACCAGAACACGUUCGACGGUGAGGGAUGAAAGCUGGGGGAGCAAACCGGAUUAGAUACCCGGGUAGUCCCAGCUGUAAACGAUGCAGACUCGAUGAUGCAAUGGCAUAGAGCUAUUGCAGUAUCGCAGGGAAGCCGUUAAGUCUGCCGCCUGGGAAGUACGUACGCACGUAUGAAACUUAAAGGAAUUGGCGGGGGAGCACCACAAGGGGUGAAGCCUGCGGUUC
rnacentral:rRNA from 1 species